rnacentral:tRNA from 1 species
GCCUUCGUUGUGUAACGGUGAGCCCGCUCGACGCGUAACCGAGAGAUCCGUGGUUCGAUUCCCGGAGAAGGCG